rnacentral:lncRNA from 1 species
AAAGUUAAAAAAUAUCAAACUAAAAUGAUCAAAAAUAAAAAAAGAAUUAAAGAAAUGAACAUGUGUCCCAAAUUCAUUUAUUUCUUCUCCUAAACCUUAAAAUUAAGAAUCUAAAAAUAAAAAAUUUAAUUGCUCUUCUAAAUCAACUUUAAUAAGAAGUUCAAAUUUUUAGUCUCAACUGUAAAUUCACCAAAUCAAACCCUAAAAUCAAG